rnacentral:misc_RNA from 1 species
CAGAGUUAUCCAACUCCCAAACCCAUGUGAACUUAUCUCUUUGUUGCCUCGGCGCAAGCUACCCGGGACCUAGCGCGCCCCGGGCGGCCCGCCGGCGGACAAACCAAAACUCUUGUUAUCUUAGUUGAUUAUCUGAGUGUCUUAUUUAAUAAGUCA